AAUCUGUUUCAGGGCGAGGUGAAAUUCCUCACUGGCGGUGAUGAGCUUUGGCUUCGAGUCCGCGAGCUUUCCUUUGGAGGGCAGAAUGGGUGGGAACCCCAUACCAACGGUACAGUCCGGAUGAAAGAAACAAAAA
rfam:Clostridium saccharolyticum-like K10 draft genome.